UGUUGAUUCACAAGCUACUGCCUACUCCCAUUGGGAUGAACCUUACUUUGGUAAAGCAACCAUUACUUCAUCAAGAUCUAAUAGAGAUCCUAGGAAAAAUCAAGGAGAAUGGACAGAGAACUCUGUCCUGAAGACUCCACGACGACACCAUGGAACCCUGCUGAUGAAGAUCUUUCGAGGGCAAUCGUCAGUCACGGGGUGGUGUAAGAGCCCGUCUGAAGCCCCUCAUUUUCCGUUCUGCCUUCCGAUUGCCACGAGAAAGAAUCCCUUCCUCCACUGCAGUUCCGGCUUAGAACAGGACACAGUGCAGGUGCAACCACUGAACCGUCAUGCUAGCUGUUCCGAACAAGGCCUGGCAAGAACUCGGCAAGGACUUGGCAAGGACUUGGCAAAGACCUGACGUGGACCCAGCACGGGACAGCCUGAUGCGCGGCCUGCUUCUAAUCUCCGUUCUUAAGCCAAAUGAACUUUUGGGGUGACUCCCGGGGUCCUUCAUUGAAGACCCCUCAUCUGCCUCGUUACCACUGUGACAAACAAAGAAUGAGAACCCUCCUCCCAAGGACUGAGACUGAGACCCCUGCUACAGGGAGGAGGGGAAAUUGGUGGUCUGACCACUAAUGACAUGACCUGUUUCCCUUCAGUGAUUCAAAUGGACUCAUUCUUCAUUGGAUUCGUCUUGCUUUGGUGGUUUCUGUGGACUCAGCUGUUCCCGCGUGGCGAUUACAAUGGACUUUCGUUGUUCCACUUGCUCCCCCGUCUUUCCUCUGUGGACUAUAACUGGAGCCCCGAGUCGACCAGAACUACGGAGACUCCCCCGACACGACAGACGGAUCCCCAUCGUCCGGACCACUGAGGAUCUCGCCUGUGUUGGUAGCUAUUCCCAUACCCCUCUUCUCUCUCUCUCUCUCUCCUUUUAUCUCCUUUCCGAUCCCCACUAUCGCAUUUACUGGUUUGGCCCCUAAUAAAGGUGCAUUUGUUGUGAUUAACUGAUA